UACGGGGGGAGCAAGCGUUGUUCGGAUUUACUGGGCGUAAAGGGCGCGUAGGCGGCUCUGAUCGUCGGAUGUGAAAGGCCUGGGCUCAACCUGGGAAUGGCAUCCGAUACGGCGGGGCUGGAGUGUGGGAGAGGUUGGUGGAAUUCCCAGUCGUAGAGGUGAAAUUCGUAGAUAUUGGGAAGAACACCGGUGGCGAAGGCGGCCAACUGGACCACAACUGACGCUGAGGCGCGAAAAGCGUGGGGGAGCAAACAGG
rnacentral:rRNA from 1 species